UACGUAGGGGGCAAGCGUUGUCCGGAUUUAUUGGGCGUAAAGAGCGUGUAGGCGGCCAGACAGGUCCGUUGUGAAAACUCGAGGCUCAACCUCGAGAUGUCGAUGGAAACCGUCUGGCUAGAGUCCGGAAGAGGAGUGUGGAAUUCCAGGUGUAGCGGUGAAAUGCGUAGAUAUUCGGAGGAAGACCGGUGGCGAAGGCGGUCUGCUGGGCAGUUUCUGACACUGAGGCGCGACAGCGUGGGGAGCAAACAGGG
rnacentral:rRNA from 1 species